rnacentral:rRNA from 1 species
GUGCCAGCCGCCGCGGUAAGACGGAGGGUGCUAGCGUUGUUCGGAAUUACUGGGCGUAAAGGGCGCGUAGGCGGCCAGGCAAGUCGGAUGUGAAAGCCCGGGGCUCAACCUCGGAACUGCAUUCGAAACUGCUUGGCUAGAGAACGGAAGAGGAGAGUGGAAUACCUAGUGUAGAGGUGAAAUUCGUAGAUAUUGGGUGGAACACCGGUGGCGAAAGCGGCUCUCUGGUCCGGAUCUGACGCUGAGGCGCGAAAGCGUGGGGAGCAAACAGGAUUAGAGACCCUGUAGUCC